AGCGGCGGACGGGUGAGUAACGCGUGGGCAACCUGCCUCAUACAAAGGGAUAGCCACUGGAAACGGUGAUUAAUACCUUAUAAGUCGGUAGCAUCGCAUGAUGUAGCCGACAAAGAUUUAUCGGUAUGAGAUGGGCCCGCGUCUGAUUAGCUAGUUGGUAAGGUAACGGCUUACCAAGGCGACGAUCAGUAGCCGACCUGAGAGGGUGAUCGGCCACACUGGAACUGAGACACGGUCCAGACUCCUACGGGAGGCAGCAGUGGGGAAUAUUGCACAAUGGGCGCAAGCCUGAUGCAGCAACGCCGCGUGAGUGAUGAAGGCCUUCGGGUUGUAAAACUCUGUCCUAUGGGAAGAAACAAAUGACGGUACCAUAGGAGGAAGCCCCGGCUAACUACGUGCCAGCAGCCGCGGUAAUACGUAGGGGGCAAGCGUUAUCCGGAAUCACUGGGCGUAAAGGGUGCGUAGGCGGCUUAUCAAGCCAGGGGUGAAAGGCAUUGGCUCAACCAAUGUAAGCCUUUGGAACUGAUAGGCUUGAGUGCAGGAGAGGUAAGUGGAAUUCCUAGUGUAGAGGUGAAAUUCGUAGAUAUUAGGAGGAACACCAGUGGCGAAGGCGACUUACUGGACUGUAACUGACGCUGAGGCACGAAAGCGUGGGUAGCGAACAGGAUUAGAUACCCUGGUAGUCCACGCC
rnacentral:rRNA from 1 species